GCUGCGGAGCGUGGUGGUUGUUACGAUCCCACAUCAACUAAGUAUGAGAUUGGUUGAUGGUUUAUAAGCCCCUAGGCACCCUUUCCUUGUAAGCUAAUUUUCAAGGAUGAGUUCUACCUAGUGGGUUCAUAACAUCUAUGGUACAUGUG